rnacentral:rRNA from 1 species
CUAACAAGGAUUCCCCUAGUAACGGCGAGUGAAGAGGGAAAAGCUCAAAUUUAAAAUCUGGCGGUCUACGGCCGUCCGAGUUGUAAUCUAGAGAAGUGUUUUCCGCGCUGGACCGUGUACAAGUCCUUUGGAACAAGGCGUCAUAGAGGGUGAGAAUCCCGUCUACGACACGGACUGCCAAGCGCUUUGUGAUACACUCUCAACGAGUCGAGUUGUUUGGGAAUGCAGCUCAAAAUGGGUGGUAAAUUCCAUCUAAAGCUAAAUAUGGGCGAAAGACCGAUAGCGAACAAGUACCGUGAGGGAAAGAUGAAAAGCACUUUGGAAAGAGAGUUAAACAGUACGUGAAAUUGUUGAAAGGGAAACGCUUGAAGUCAGUCGCGUCUUCAGAAAUUCAGCUGGGCUUCUGCCCUGUGUACUUUUCUGUGGGACGGGCCAGCAUCAGUUUCGGCUGCCAGAAAAAGGUGGGAGGAAGGUGGCACCUCCGGGUGUGUUAUAGCCUCCGAUCGUAUGUGGCAGCUGGGACUGAGGACCGCAGCACGCCUUCAUGGCCGGGGUUCGCCCACGUAACGUGCUUAGGAUGCUGGCGUAAUGGCUUUAAGCGACCCGUCUUGAAACACGGACCAAGGAGUCUAACAUGCCUGCGAGUAUUUGGGUGGCAAACCCAUAUGCGCAAUGAAAGUGAACGGUUGGGACUUCUGUCAUGGAAGGCACCGACGCCCGGACCAGACCUAUUGUGACGGAUCCGAGGUAGAGCAUGUAUGUUGGGACCCGAAAGAUGGUGAACUAUGCCUGAGUAGGGUGAAGCCAGAGGAAACUCUGGUGGAGGCUCGUAGCGAUUCUGACGUGCAAAUCGAUCGUCGAACUUGGG